GACGAACGCUGGCGGCGUGCUCAACACAUGCAAGUCGAACGAAGAGCGAUGGAAGCUUGCUUCUAUCAAUCUUAGUGGCGAACGGGUGAGUAACGCGUAAUCAACCUGCCCUUCAGAGGGGGACAACAGUUGGAAACGACUGCUAAUACCGCAUACGAUCUAAUCUCGGCAUCGAGGAUAGAUGAAAGGUGGCCUCUACAUGUAAGCUAUCACUGAAGGAGGGGAUUGCGUCUGAUUAGCUAGUUGGAGGGGUAACGGCCCACCAAGGCGAUGAUCAGUAGCCGGUCUGAGAGGAUGAACGGCCACAUUGGGACUGAGACACGGCCCAGACUCCUACGGGAGGCAGCAGUGGGGAAUCUUCCGCAAUGGACGAAAGUCUGACGGAGCAACGCCGCGUGAGUGAUGACGGCCUUCGGGUUGUAAAGCUCUGUUAAUCGGGACGAAAGGCCUUCUUGCGAAUAGUGGGAAGGAUUGACGGUACCGGAAUAGAAAGCCACGGCUAACUACGUG
rnacentral:rRNA from 1 species